rnacentral:rRNA from 1 species
GUACACACCGCCCGUCACACCAUGGGAGUCGGUUGCUCCAGAAGUGGCUGAGCCAACCCGCAAGGGAGGCAGGUCCCCAAGGAGUGGCUGGUAACUGGGGUGAAGUCGUAACAAGGUAGCCGUAGGUAACCUGCAGAAGGAUCA